GUACCUAAAAAAAAAAACAAAAAGCUACACUUUUUCUCACUUUUUCAGAGAGAGAAAGAUAUUUUUAGAGAGAGAGAGAGAGAGAGAGAGAGACAGAGAAAGGGGUAAGUAGUAUUAUGUGCAACAAAGAUACUUCUCCUCUCCAACACAGCUCUAUGAUCGACACAAAACCCACUCUGACCCUUAAACCCUCUCGCAAAACCCGAUCCAAGACCCGGAAACCCAAGUUCCUCAGCCUCCGCCUAGAGCUGACCCAGCAAUCCGGCGAAAUGACCACCACGACAAUCUCCGCAGCCACGCGCCGCCAGCUCAACCUUUUCCCACUCCACCCAGAAACCUCAUCAGUCGAAGAAAAGGACACCGUGGCAUACUUCUUCGACUCCGCGGACGGCGGCGCUACCACCCUCACCACCCUCCUCGGCACCGGAUCUUCGUCGGAGGACGACACCAUCGCCGUGUCGCCGCCCUCGCUAACGUACGCCUACGGGGGGCAGGAUAGCGAGGAGGAGGGGAAGUUGCUGGUACGGACGGCUCUGAGGAACAAGGAAAGAGACGCGAGUGAAGAGAAGUGGGUGUCCUAUUCGGAGGUUGUAGAGAGAAAAGAUGAGGAAGUUACUAGCUGUGCCGCGGACCUACGGUGUGGAGCAAGGAAGAUGAAAGGGUUGUCGUUGAAGCUUGAUUAUCAGGAGAUCUUGAAUGCUUGGUGUGAUAAGGGCCCACUUUAUAUUCAGCUGGAGUCUCCACAAACCGUCCCUGAUCUCCACGAUGACUCUUCUAAUCAUACAAAAGGACCCUCAAGACAGAUUGUCAGCUCUGGACCUUCUGAGUCACCAAUUCAUCAAGAAGUUUGAAGAUAAGGACAUUGACCUAGGGAUUCUGGUAUCGGAUCUGUAGCUCUUUUAUUUGUUUUAGUUCUCUCAGACAGGUGCUGGAUUAGCAGCAGAUGGGAGGCAAGUUGUUGCUCGAACAAGUCUGAAGCAACAAAUUAUGAAAGACCUUUUGGAUGUGGAGUGAUUCUUGGAGGUUAUGACAGAGAUGGGCCACAAUUGUUACAUGAUUGAGCCUUUUGGGAUUUUUUCAUAUGGAAUUGACAUUAAAGAAAUGCUUGCUGGUGCAUCAUUGAUGGAUGAGGCAAAUAGGACCACCGUGGUAAAGAUUUAUUAUUCAUUCUCUUAUUAUUAUUACUAUUAUUUUUAAUUCAUUGUUGUCUGCUGAUAGUAGUUUUGUUACUUGAGUAGCCAAACUAUUCUCGUCUUCUCAAGCAACUGAAUAAUGGACUUUCUACAAUUGUGAGAAAUGCAUUUUCAUCUUCUUCACUUUCUUCAUCUUCUCCACUUUCUUCAUCUUCUCAUUCUUCUCCUCCAUGUUUCUUUUUUCUAGCCUUGCAAAGGAUGGUCCAUCUCUUUCUAGCUAUACAAAGGUAUUGUUAUAUGUUGAGGUGUGUGUCUCCCACAAUAGUUGUGUACCUUUUGUGUGGUCUAUUGAACUUAAAUAUUAUAUACAGAAAAAUAGGCCAGGAUUUGGUGUAUUUGCAAAGGUUAUUUUUCUUGCAUAGUCAAUGAAAUGGGAGCAAGUGGAGAUGUUCAUUGGUGUAAACUAACCAUGAGGGGGAAAUUAAAGUUAAAAAUUGGUUGGUUCUGUUUUAAAAAAUGAUUAAUCAAAUCAGUUUGGAUGUACUUAUUCAUUAUGAGAAAGCUGUUCGAUUAGACCAUUAUCAAAAUUGCACAACCCACACAAAUCUUUCACUAAACUACGAGUUUUGUUUUCUGUUUUAUCAGUUUUCCUCCAGAUGUCCUGAAAUUCAGUUCUUUCCAAGCAGUACAUCUUGGCAAGGCUCUGUUUCGGUUUAGCUUUGUGCAAUACAUGUCAUCAAUUGGAAUGUUGGUUAUUUUGCUUUAAUUUCUAAGGAAUAUCUCAUCCUCCUUCUUGAUGACUUAUAGACCUGUAGCCAUCAGCUAUUAUCUUGGUGCUAUCUCAUGCCAAUCCAAUGGGGGAGAAGUGAAAGGUUCAAAUCCCAAUUUCGGCUAAAGGGAUACAUUUUGAAUUCUUACUUCUCAAGUGGACACACACACACACACACACACACACAAUACACUUGAUGUGAAAUUACAUAAUUGAAUGUGAAAUGAUUAUUUAUUUCACUGCUCAUGCUUGUAAGUAGGAAAAGAAGUUAUGAUAACAGAAUAUCAAAGUUUCCUUUUUUAUUUAUAUUUAUUUAUUUAUUUUUAUGUGAGGGAUAACCCUACAACAUUGUUGGCUUUAAGCUGGUAUUGGGCCUCUGGUGGAGUAGGAUCCAAGGAUAUGGUUGUUCUUCCUUACAAGGAUAGCCUAUUAUUAUUUAGUACGUAUUUACAGCAGUUGGUCAUGGAGUCACUUGGGAAGGAGUUUGACUUAGAAGGUAAUCGGCUGUGGAGGAGUGCUCAUAGAACUCCCAAGCAACCUAGAUCUUUUGGAUGAUAUUUCCUUUGUGAAGUUGGCCCUGUUGGAUGAUAUUUCCUUUGUGAACUCCCAAGCAUUUCAUCAUUUUUAUUUACUUAUUAUUGUGCUAACCAAGAUUGUAGAAAAUUGAUGUGAAACUUCUGUUGAAAUCAUAUUUUUUUGCUUGUCUUUUUGAAUGUCUUUGACAAGUUUGCAAUAUGUGAUAAAAUAUUUUUUCCUUUGGUUGUGUUUA